AAGGAUCUGAGUCUUUCCCCGCGGAGACAGCCCUGAAGAACUCCUGUAACGUCAAACUGGCAAUUUCCAAGAAGCAAUCUGGUACCUGCAUUCCCAGAGAGACCCACAAGAAAGAAAAGACAUGAGGCUAUGGAGCCCUAAUGCUGUGCAGACCUCAAUGCUGCCUGUUCCUUGGGUGACGGGCUGAGAAGAGCAUCUCUACUCUCCUGGCCCUCGAUUUCUGCAGCCCUAAGAAUUUCCCCUGCUCUCUCAUCAUGUACAAACCUUAAAAUGAUGGUCCCUGUGAGACAGCCCUGGGAAAAAGCAUAUGAGGGGCACUCUACUUUGUAGGAAAAGCUGCUUCUACUAAUGGUGAUGUUUUUAUUUCAGAAUGAAGACUGGCUGUAUAUUCAUCUUGUGACAUCCAACUGUUGCCUAAAAGAAGAUCUUGAGUCUUAUCUUUGUGGGCAAUACAGACAUUGGCCCCAAGCUGCCUUGGCUCUCACUGACUUAAGGACAGACACAGAAGGGGAUCUUUUCUAAAACUCAAUCACAAAGGGAAGGCAAUCAUCAGACCUCAUGGGACCCAAGUAUAUGGUCUUACCUCAAAGUCAUUUCCCUUGUUAUAGUGCAUAUUGAGAGUUCGAUAAAGUUCUGAGUUGCGGAGUACCACCAGCGUUUUGGGGUUUGUGACACCAUCUGAAAUCGCUUGCCGGGCAAAUUUCUCCAUUUGGAUGUAAUAAAACUCACGGAAGUUGCUGAACCAUUUGAUCAUCUGGGAGGUUAUGCAGCGGUUGAACUGUACAAACAAUAGGCUCCAUCAGGUCAGAUGUUUACCAUGAGGUGCUCAGCUUCCAGUUCAGCAUAGGGCUUAAUAAGGAGGGCUUCAACCACCAUUAAAAAGGGCUUUCGUUUUUUAGAGAGGAAGGGGUGGGGGGCAGAGAGAAUCUUGAGCAGUCCCCAACCCAGGGGUUGAUCUCACAACCCUGAGAUCAUGACCUGAGCUGAAAUCAAGAGUUGGAUGGUUAACUAACUGAGCCACCCAGGCACUCCAAAAAGGGCUUUAUUUUAAAAAGAAGCCACAGCUGUUUUCCUAGCCUAUUCACUUAUACACAGAAAAAUCUCAAUUAGCUACAAUGGCUAUUAGAAAAUAUUGUUUUCGUUAUACUAUAUGUUGGCAAAUUAAAUUUUAAUUUUAAAAAAGAAGGAAAAAAAUGUUUUUGAUAUACUGGAUUUAUGACUUAAAAAAAUUUUUUUAAAUUUUUUUACCCAUGAAAAGCUUUCCAUGGUGUCUAGUAUAACAUUGGGAGGACCUGGGGUCAAAGCCAGAUGUUUCUGCUGUGCAUGGCAGCCCCAGAGCCUUCUGUCAGGUCAAGUGCAAAAAGAAGGGAUAAAGGUGUAGAUUGGAGAGCAGUUCGUAGCAACCAUACAGUUGCAGAAUGAAUUGAAAUUAGAGCUUGGUGCAGGAGCCACUUGAGCAACUGAAUAUGAGGGAAAGAUCUGAAAAAAAUGCAAAGAUGUAGAUACAAAAUAUUAGCAGCCCAAUCCCAACACCCAGGGUAGAGGAGGCCCUCAGAAGCUUUUCAGGAACAGGCAAGGUCUGGUUCCAACCACCAGAGGUUGAUUCUCCUGUCACACUCGAUCUCUCUGCGCCUUCAAUCAGGUUUGAAAGGUAGCACUUUGAAUAGAAACAAGACAGUGAGGAAAAAAAAAAAAAAAGGAAACAAGACAGUGUACAACCCUUUAUAUAUUCUUUCUUUUUCAUGGUCUCCACAGUAGAGACAAAACACUAGGCUGAGAUGCCAUUUACUAAUGUUUCCCUCUCCCUGCCACCUUCCCUCACCCCCCUCUACCCAUUUGUUUCUGGGAAUAUCUACAGCUCAAAAGUUUAAAAUUCAGAUACCUAAUCUUUGUGGCCCAAAGUUAUUCAUGCAGAGUCUCAACCCAGAACUGGAAAUCCUACUGAUGCCAUCAGCAACAUGAAGGGGACCUGAAGUGCUUGCCUCCCACUGGCCAGAACCCAGUGCCUCUUGGGAGUUUUGCAGAGGCUUUCAGAGGUGAUAAAUGACUCUACCUGGACAUCAGGGAAGUAAGCCUUCAGGAGGUUGGAGCUGGGGUAGCGUGUGAAGAAAAACAUCAGUUUGGCCUUCUUCAAGUGACCGGGAUUUAGGCCCUCCUGGAUUUAUCUCAGCGUCAAGGAAAACUAACACCAGUUUGUCAGAUAAUUUUUAUCAAUUUAUCCAAAUAAUGAAUUGUCCUGCUCCUUAUGGUUUCUAUUUUAUUUCAUUUUAUUUUUUUCUGGUUGAAUGGUGUAUUAGUUCCAUUUUUUUUGUCUCUAUGAAGUCUGAUCAGAUACACUUUUUCUUAGGGUGCCUGGCUGGCUCAGUCGGUAGAGCACAUGAUUCUUGAUCCUGGGGUCUUGAGUUCAAGACCCCCACUGGGCUUGAGCUUACUGAAAAAAACUAAAAAAAAAAAAAAAAAAAAAGAGAGAGAGAGCUUUUUCCAGAUGUUGAAUACCAUAUAUGUACGGUAGAUUUGCAGAAUUUAAAAAACAUUUUGAUGUGUAAAAGUUCUGUGGCACAUAGGAUCUCAGCUUGUUGUACUUUGUGUGUGUGUGUGUGUGUGUGUGUGUGUGUGUGCGUGCGCGCGCUUUCAGAAUAGAAUGGGAAGAGAUGGCAAGUCUGUGCCAGAUCUCAAAACCCCACAUAGAGAUUUCCUUCCCCUUCUCUGCCUCAGUUUCCCUGUCUGUAAAAUGAGAUGAGCUGACUGGUCCCUGUUCUACUCUCACAGCUCCCUUUGCAGUGUUCAAGCCAACAAAUGCCUAACCAGCCUGAGUACCAGAUCCCAGUUUGCUUUGGCUCAGGAAGCUUGAAUUUCUUGGCUGUGCGUGCUCCCAGCAUGGCUGGCAGAGCUCUCCCUCACCCCUUCCCUGUGAAAUAUUUCCUUGCUGAAUCAGGCCUUCCUUACCCUGGGCUGUUGAGGCUUUUUGUACAAAUCUCUGUUGUAGCAGUGACCUUCCUGGAAGUUUUAUCGCACGUUGUUGUGUCCCCAUUUAGAAUGUGAGCUCCUUGAGGGCAAGGAUCUUAUCUUUUCAUCUUUGUAUUCCACACGCCUAGCCCAGUGCUAGGAAUGUAGUAGGUGCUCAAUAAAUGAUUGUUGGCUGAAGGAA